rnacentral:tRNA from 1 species
GCACCCAUAGCUCAGUUGGAUAGAGCGUCUGACUUCGAAUCAGAAGGCCGCAGGUUCGAGUCCUGCUGGGUGCACCA